rnacentral:rRNA from 1 species
AUUGAACGCUGGCGGCAGGCCUAACACAUGCAAGUCGAGCGGUGCGGCGGACGGGUGAGUAAUGCCUAGGAAUCUGGGUGGUAGUGCGGGCUAACGUGCGGAAAGGGGCGCUAAUACGGCAUACUAUCAGAUGAGCCGAGGUGGGAUUAGCUAGUUGGUGGGGUAAUGGCCUAACAAGGCGACGAUCCGUAACUGGGCUGAGAGGAUGAUCAGCCACACUGGAACUGAGACACGGUCCAGACUCCUACGGGAGGCAGCAGUGGGGAAUAUUGGACAAUGGGCGAAAGCCUGAUCCAGCCAUGCCGCGUGUGUGAAGAAGGUCUUCGGAUUGUAAAGCACUUUAAGUUGGGAGGCGUUACCAACAGAAUAAGCACCGGCUAACUCCGUGCCAGCAGCCGCGGUAAUUC